rnacentral:tRNA from 1 species
GGGGAUGUAGCUCAGAGGCAGAGCACUUGCCUGGCAAGCAUGAGGCCCUAGGUUCAAUUCCCAUUGUCA